CACUGAUAAAACUAGGUAGUAAAACCAAUUGAAACCAGAUAAACUGGCAGUCUAGGCCUAUUAGAGAAACUCGCUCUAUAAUCGACAAUCCCCGUUAAAUCUAACUCUUUAUUCUUAAAGCUUAUAUACCGCCGUUUCAGAAUCUAUUUAACAAUAAUAUUCUACAUUUAAAUUCACUUCCUCUCUAAAAAUCAGGUCAAGGUGUAGCCCAUAAAAGAGCAAGAGUAAGUUACACUAAGACAUUACUUAAGAAAAAUUUAUCUAAAGAUAAUUAGAAAAAGAAUUUAUAAGUACAUUAGAAUCAAAAAUUCAAAUAGAACGACACAGCCAAGAUGC
rnacentral:rRNA from 1 species